UUUUCAUAAACUUUGCCUUAUGAAACAUCAAAAAUUCAUUUUAUUUCUGUUUCAUAAGUCCCUUAUUGAAAACAUAACAAACUUCACGAAAUUCAUAACUUUACCUUAUGAAAUUUAUAACUCGUUCUUGUGUAAAUUUUUCAUACGGUGUCCUUAUGAAAGAUGAUGUUUGUUUUUGAGUUCAUUUUGAAGUGACAGAAAAAAAUGAGUAAAGUGGAAGCAGCUCGAACGGAACCCCGGAAAAAAUGUCGACAACGUCCUGUCCAGUGUGUUGAUUCACCGGUUUUUACCAUCAACGAGGAAGAUGGGAAUGCUCCGUGAGAACUCAGUAACACGGUUUCCACGGAGCGCUGAAUUGUCCCCACCAGAACAGACCAGAAUUACCUAUGAAGUUGUCGAGAAAAGGAAUAUCCUCCAGGAGAUUUAUCACAAACUGCCCACAAUCAACCGCACUUAAAUUAGAGGUAAAUGUGGAAAUACAGAACAGAUCCGGAAUAUCCCCUUCAGUUUACCACAGCAGUAAAGCGAAGGAACUGGCACGCUGUGUAAUCCAGUCAUUUUACCGGAAGGAGACCCAAGCCCGCCGUUACAUGAGGAGUUGUGAACAAUGAAACAGUCAAUCGACAAGGUGGAUAGAUUUUUGAAUAGGAGAAGGAAAUGAAUCGGAACAAGGACAAUCGGUGGACAAGAAAGGAUGUUAAGUCGUCCUCGCUGACAUCGUAACAUUCUCAUUGAUAUGAUCCAACAUUUGAAAAGGGCGCUAGAUCGUAAAUUACAAGACAAUUAAUUUUCUAUAGCUACCUCAAACGGGAUUUGGUUGAUGUAGAAUGUACCGCAAAACUUUCAUUAGUAUGUAGGUUUUCGUUAUCGUCGUUAUCGUUAUCGUCGGAUAUCAUUGUUACGGUGUAAAUCGUAGAUUAGACACUAGUGAUACACUAGUGUUCAUCUUUUGAGAUCUUUAUCUAGAAUGCUAUCAGAAAUCAAGAAGAAGCUUUAUUUAUAUUCAAUGCUUUGAGUUGCUCCAAAUAGUUGUAUUUGAUAUAGUUUUUACUUAUACUAGAGACAGACAGGCUAUUAGUAACAGGAUUCUUUUUUGUUGGCAUUACAUCCCCCUACUGGGACAUUGUCGCCUCGCAGCUUAGUGUUUAUUAAGCACUUCCACAGUUAUUAACUGUGAGGUUUCUAAGCUUAUUACCAUUUUUGUAUUCGUAUAUCAUGAGGCUGACACGAUGAUACUUUAUGCCCACGGAAGUCGAGGCAAUUUCCAAACCAGCACCUAGAAUCGUAUCACCCUCAACAUGGUCUAUAAUUCCUGUAAGGCUACCUGUAAUGACGACAAUAAAUUCUGUAGGUAGUAGGACAAUCGCAACCAGUCUGUCUCUAGCUUGAAAUAUGUCAAUGAGUUAGAAACAUACGUUAAUUACUAAAUGAUCGAUAACAUCCUUGCUAUACGUAGGUAUAUAAUAUCAGUCAUAUAGUAGACAAAUUAGUAAUUUAUUCAAUGUUUAAUAAAGUAUACUCUAUAGUGUAAUGCUAAGCUUAGAUUGGAUAAGUGAAACAAAGACGUGUUCAACUUUUUUGGUUUAUAUAUUCAAAUCAAGUGACUUGCUCAAUUUACUUGCCUAACUUUUGCGUGCUUUAGCUUUAAAAGUGGAUUUACAAAUAUGCCUAUUAUAAACUUAACUCAUUAACAUCUGGAGUAUCUGUUACAAGAACUGUCCUAUUUGUCCUAUUAUAUUUUGUAUUUACAGUAGUUAGGAAGUAUAACUGAAUAAUAAAGUUUUCAUUCUGUUUGAAUAAAUAAAAUAUGUUUAGUAUAUUUUUUUCGUAUUUGCAAGGAAAUUUUACAUAAUCUAUAAAACUGAAAUCAAAUUUCAAUUAAGAAUUUCAUUAGGCAUACUUAUUAAAUUUCAUAAGUUUGUUUAAUGAAACUCAUAAGGCAAUUUUAAGAGAAACAUAAACAUCAACUAUGAGUCUGGUUCAUC